UUUGUCGUGAUAAGACUUUUUUUUUUUUUGUAUCGCAAAACGUUUUUGUUGCCCUUGAGAUUACUGACAUCACGAUUAUGGCUUCUUGGCGAACUGAUGGCAUUGAUUUUGAUUGGAAUUUUUAAAUCAAACUGGCAAUUCUGGUAGCCUACACAUCAACCUGCUGCAUGCCUCCGGAGAACACACUUGCUUCAGGCAAAUUUAAAGGUGUCAAACUGAAGGUCCUUGCAUUUCCCAGGUUCUCAAAAGCAAUCGUAUUAUGGCGAUUUAAGAAAUGCUGCUCGGCAACCUUGGUACGAGGAUUAAAACUCGGCUUUAAUGUUCGGAAUAAUUUGCAAUGAUUCCGCGCUUCUCACGAAACCAAGAAUCUCCACCAACAUAACUGCAAGAUCAGUCCCUCUUUAACUGAUGUGUGAGGAAAGUUCUGGUUCAAAAUGGACUCUGCAAUGCUCUGGUUGAUCACCUGGCUCAAGGGUGUGACAAAGAUGUUCCUCACCAGACGUUUGAACCUGCAGCCUUUUGGUUACUAACCGCUUCAGAAACCGUUACAUCCCACCGUUCGUACCCGACUGGAGGAGACUCUCCA